CAGAUUGGGAGAUACUGGGUGAGGGGGAGUAGAAACCAAACAAGAGAGAGAAAGGUCACGAAUUUUUUUUUAACUACGUGGGUUUUUUUUAUUAUUGUUAUUUUAGAAGUGUGUUUAGCACUGAGACAAAUUGUACAUUUACCGCAAGUCACCAGGACCUAACGAGCUCCUAAUGUGCCCCAUACUUCAAGGUUUUUCAGAACAGGCCAGUAACUUAGCAACGGCAGCUAAACCUUGACGGGAAUAAUCAGUAUUUGUGUUGCAGCUUCAGGCUUUCCCACUGUAGAGGUUUCUGUGUUUUUUUUUCUUUUAUUUCUUUCUUUCUUUCCUCCCUUUCUCUUUUUAAAGGAUCCCACAACAAGGAAGAACAGUCAUGGCUGGGAAAGGACCAUUGCAGCUUCUGGAUCACAUAAGGCAUGGAGAGAGGCCAAUCCUGAAUGAAGGGUGCUUUCAAUGAACACCAAGGGAGGGAAGAGAGAUGUCUGCAGGAGGAAGAAGAGUAGGGACUGAAUAGCCCAUUAACACUGAUGAACAUUUUCCCAAACAAAGUCUACCCAGUGAGAGAGAGGAGACUCCAACUGGCUGCAAGGAAAGAAAAGGAAGGAAGCUUCUUUGGGCAGAGGAAGUUUAUUAUUCUGCGAGAGGAAAUCGACAAAGAAAACUGAAGAAACCACAGAUAAUAGGUGAGAUGAGGACAAGUUUGUCAAAUGUAUGGGAAAAUCCAGCCAUAGUCCUAUUGCCAGAUAUUACUUAAGGGGCUUGAAAAUGGUGCCCUCAUUUUCAUAGAAGAGGAGAGAACUAAAAAAUAUAGAUGCCCACUGAUUGGAAAAUGGCCAAACAAGAUGUGGCACAUUGAACAACAAUAAAGCUGAACUGUUCUUUUUUUCCCCCUCUUUC
rnacentral:lncRNA from 1 species